UUUACAGAUCCAGACUAACACGGCUACCCCUCUGAUACUUGACAGAGAUUGAAAUGAGCAUCAAGAUGUAGGGCUCGAGGUGAUAGCAGGUUGCCAUUUACCGUGAAUUGGUCCUGUGCCCAGUGGGUUUGAUCCCUACUAUUGGCUAAUGUUCCUUGCAUUCUGCAGUGUCUCCUUUUGGAUUUUUUUGCCCCGAGAUCAAAAUUUCCAGCUGAAAAACCAUAUGAAUGCUCUAAAAGCCACAUGAAUGCUCUGAAUUUCCAUGAGAGGUGUGGUCAAGGGAAUCAGAGUUGAUUAAACAGACGACCGAUGAAAGACAGUAAAGGAAAAUGUAAUUGUGUCUCCUGAACAAUGGAACUGAGUGUGGACAAUAGAAGCUGGGUUAUUCCAUCAACUUCCUUAGUGCAGAGUUAAGGUUUCCCAGGGCUGCUUCCUGCCCUUCCCGAACAUGGAGAGUGGUUGCACUUAGGCCUCUGAAAUCCAUGAAAUACAGUUAAGGCAAACACCCUCACAACCUUAACUCUGCCCUCUUUGAGCCAUGCCCCAGCACACCAGGAACACAUACAGGCCCUUACAGAUGCUACAGAAUGCUGGGCGCAGAGCACAUGAGCACUAGAGGGCCCAGCCCAUCACCUUCCCUUUGCCAAGGCAAAACUCAGCUUUAGAGUCAUAGAUGCCCAGGCCAGAAGGGAAUUUUGCAAUCAUCUAGUCUGAGCUUCUGUGUAGCACAGGCCAGAGAACUGCCCGAAAUAAUCCCUGCUGGAACCACAGCAGAUCUCUUAGAAAACCAUCCAAUCUAGAAAUAAAAAUUGUCAGAGGUGGAGAAUCCACCACGGCCCGUGGUGAGCUGCUCCAAUGGUUAUUUCCCCUCUUGGUUAAACCAGACACCAUCUUUCCCAACCGAAUGGGUGUAAAUUCCACUUCCAGUCACUGGAUCUUGUUUGACCUUUGUCUGCUGCUUCUGUUGGACCCAGCGACCGGGAGGUGCCUGACUCCACUGCUGAACUGACUGCAUGCAACCCGCCCAGACCAGCGCGGUGGUCCAAGCCCUUCACCACUGGCCCUGAGGCUUUCCCCAGAGAUAGUGCAGCACUCACCCCUCACUACGCCCUGGAGAUUGAGUCAUACAGGGCCCAGAGCACUGACAAUCCCUAUAGCAAGAAGAUCCCUGUCCCCACUGCUGAUACAACAGACACAAUUCGGUGCUGAAAUGAGGCAGGCUCGAUAACUCCAGGAACGAAGACACCUCUCCUCAUGUCACAGUGAUACCUGUGCCAAGCUGAUCCAGUGACCCCCCGCCACCCCCACUCACCAGAGUGGCACAUGGCGCUGGCUGAGCAGUGCCUCUCAAGAGCCCAGAAGGGUUCGGGGUGGGUGGAUGUUGGUCCAGGGCUCUCGGCUGUGACUGACCUUGAUGGCCUGGUCUCCCCUGUACCUCCCUCUACUCUAUUAAGGUCGGCGACGCCUUCUCCAGCGCUGCUGCCCAAGAGGAGCUCCAGGAGAUUGCCUCUAAGCCCAGCAAUGAGCACAUCUUCCGGGUGGACAAUUUCGACGCCCUCCAGGACAUCCAGAGCCAGCUGCAGGAGAAAAUCUUCCCCAUCGAAGGCACCCAGUCCCAGAACAGCAGCUCCUUCCAGCUGGAGAUGUCUCAGGAAGGAUUCAGCUCCCUGCUGUCCCCUGACGGGCCUGUGCUGGGAGCAGUGGGAGCCUAUGACUGGUCCGGUGGGAUAUA